GCAUCGAUGAAGAACGCAGCGAAAUGCGAUAAGUAAUGUGAAUUGCAGAAUUUAGUGAAUCAUCGAAUCUUUGAACGCACAUUGCGCCCCUUGGUAUUCCGAGGGGCAUGCCUGUUCGAGCGUCAUAACACCCCCUCCAGCUGCCUUUGUGUGGUUGCGGUGUUGGGGCCCGUCGCGUUGCGGCAGCUCUUAAAGAUAGUGGCGGUCCUGGCGUGGGCUCUACGCGUAGUAACUUGCUUCUCGCGACAGAGUGACGACAGUGGCUUGCCAAAAGCCCGUUUGUUCCAGUCACAUGGAUCACAGGUUGACCUCGAAUCAGGUAGGAAUACCCGCUGAACUUAAGCAUAUCAAUAAGCGGAGGAA
rnacentral:rRNA from 1 species